rnacentral:rRNA from 1 species
ACGGAGGAUGCAAGCGUUAUCCGGAUUUAUUAGGUUUAAAGGGUGUGUAGGCGGAUGUAUAAGUCAGUGGUGAAAGUCAGCAGCUUAACUGUAGAAUUGCCAGUGAUACUGUAUGACUUGAGUGUGGUUGAGGUAUGCGGAAUGUGUAAGGUAGCGGUGAAAUGCUAUAAUAUUGCGCAGAACACCGAUGGCGAAGGCAGCAAGCUGAGACAAAACUGACGCUGAGUCACGAAAGCCUGGGGAUCAAACAG